GCCUGGGUGGCUCAGUCGGUUGAGCAUCCAACUUUGGCUCAGGUCAUGAUCUCACGGUUCGUGGGUUCGAGCCCCACAUCAGGUU
rnacentral:tRNA from 1 species